rnacentral:rRNA from 1 species
GACGAACGCUGGCGGCGUGCCUAAUACAUGCAAGUAGAACGCUGAAGGAGAAGCUUGCUUCUCUGGAUGAGUUGCGAACGGGUGAGUAACGCGUAGGUAACCUGCCUGGUAGCGGGGGAUAACUAUUGGAAACGAUAGCUAAUACCGCAUAAUAGUAGAUGUUGCAUGACAUUUGCUUAAAAGGUGCAAUUGCAUCACUACCAGAUGGACCUGCGUUGUAUUAGCUAGUUGGUGGGGUAACGGCUCACCAAGGCGACGAUACAUAGCCGACCUGAGAGGGUGAUCGGCCACACUGGGACUGAGACACGGCCCAGACUCCUACGGGAGGCAGCAGUAGGGAAUCUUCGGCAAUGGACGGAAGUCUGACCGAGCAACGCCGCGUGAGUGAAGAAGGUUUUCGGAUCGUAAAGCUCUGUUGUAAGAGAAGAACGAGUGUGAGAGUGGAAAGUUCACACUGUGACGGUAUCUUACCAGAAAGGGACGGCUAACUACGUG